rnacentral:rRNA from 1 species
CGCCGCGGUUAUACGAGAGACUCAAGUUGACGACACCGGCAUAAAGAGUGGUUAGGGAACCCACACCUACUAAAGUCAAACUCCUUCAAGACUGUUAUACGUUUCCGAAAAGAAGAGGCCCUUCCACGAAAGUGACUUUACCACACCUGACCCCACGAAAGCUGCGAAA